CAGUAGCCGCGGUAAUACGUAGGGUGCAAGCGUUAAUCGGAAUUACUGGGCGUAAAGCGUGCGUAGGCGGCUUCUUAAGUCGGAUGUGAAAUCCCUGAGCUUAACUUAGGAAUUGCAUUCGAUACUGGGAAGCUAGAGUAUGGGAGAGGAUGGUAGAAUUCCAGGUGUAGCGGUGAAAUGCGUAGAGAUCUGGAGGAAUACCGAUGGCGAAGGCAGCCAUCUGGCCUAAUACUGACGCUGAGGUACGAAAGCAUGGGGAGCAAACAGGAUUAGAUACCCCAGUAGUCCCUGUCUCUUAUAA
rnacentral:rRNA from 1 species